GUGCAAAUCUGUGUGAUUUAUAAGACAUGAGUGAACUGUAGAUGAAUAAUGAGUUUUACUAGUGUAAUAUGAUCUGGUUAAGAUCUGAUGUGUAACUGACAGAUGACAGGAGGUUAUGGGGUGGGGUGUAGAGACACACAAGACCCUCACAGUCUGUCUAUUAUUGUCUUUCAGUCACUCGUUCGUUCGGUCUCUUACUAACUUCACUUCUUUCACACAACCUCUCUGGAUUUAGUGAAAGUUUAGAGUCAAAUCUCUUGCGGAUAUCAUCAUGGAUAUGCCAAUACAACACGAGAACGGCGAGCUGGGCCGAGACAACGGCCUUCAGUACACAGAGAUUUCUGAGGGAUCCGAGAUGCCUGUGAUAAAAUCACAAAGAAGACGGAGUGACGUGAAAGUCUACAAAGAGUUUUGUGAUUUCUACGUGCGCUACAACAUGGCGAAUGCUUUGGCCAAUGCGAUCUGUGAGCGCUGCAGGAGCGGCUUUACUCACACUGAGAAGAUUGUCAACAGUAACGGUGAGCUGUAUCAUCAGCAGUGCUUCACAUGUGCACAGUGUUUCCAACAGUUAGAGGAGGGACUCUUUUAUGAGUUUGAAGGCAGAAAAUACUGUGAGCAUGAUUUUCAAAUUCUGUUUGCUCCCUGCUGUCAGCAGUGUGGAGAGUUCAUCAUUGGUCGAGUGAUAAAGGCGUUGAACAACAGCUGGCACCCGGACUGUUUCUGCUGUGAUAUCUGUCAUACGGUCCUUGCUGACGUGGGCUUUGUGAAGAAUGCUGGCAGACAUCUGUGUCGUCCGUGUCAUAACGGUGAGAAGGCUCAUGGUCUGGGAAAAUACAUCUGUCAAAGGUGUCACACCAUCAUUGAAGAGCUUCCUCUUAUUUUCAAGAAUGACCCUUACCACCCUGAUCACUUCAGCUGCUACAACUGCGGUAAAGAGCUGAGCGCUGAUGCGAGGGAACUCAAGGGUGAACUCUAUUGUCUCCCGUGCCAUGAUAAAUUGGGUGUGCCAAUUUGUGGUGCCUGCAGGAGACCCAUAGAAGGGCGAGUGGUGAAUGCUAUGGGCAAACAAUGGCAUAUUGAGCAUUUUGUGUGUGUUAAAUGUGAGAAACCGUUUCUCGGCCAUCAACAUUAUGAACGCAGGGGGCUGGCGUACUGUGAGACCCACUACAACAAGCUCUUUGGAGACGUUUGUUUCCACUGCAACCGCGUCAUUGAGGGACAAGUUGCGUCUGCAUUGAAUAAGGCCUGGUGUGUCAACUGCUUUGUCUGUACCACAUGCAACUCCAAGCUGACUCUCAAGGAUAAGUUUGUGGAGAUCGACCUGAAGCCAGUGUGUAAGCGUUGCUACGAGCGAGUGCCAGAGGAGAUGAAGAGACGCUUGGCCAAGCGUGAACGAGACUCGAAGGACAAGAAAAAGAAAAUUCCCAUCUGUCUGUAACCUGUAAUCCGUCUUCACGUUUGUUUUUUGUUUGGAUUUGGUCUGGAUUUUUUCUUCCUCUUGUGAUUUGUUCUGUAGAUUUGACAUGUUUCUAAAGCAAACAACAUGGUAAUAACAUUAAUGUCUUGUAUAGCUCACGCAAAGUAUCAUUUUCAUGAAUCUUUAACUUUAUCUUAGCAAAAUUAAAACACAGUUGAUUUGGUGAGCUGUUGAUGAAUGUGUACAAUGUCAUUCUAUAUUAUAUAUAAUAUAUACUAUAAAAAUGGACUAUCAAGAUAAAGUGUAACCGUCUGUUGCUAUGCAUCGAGCUUCAUUUCACACUCUCAACAACCAAGAUGGAGAGAGGAGCUGUUGUGGUAAUGAGGGAGGAAAGUGAGGUGUGCAGCUGGGAAGAGCUGAUGGGCUGAGGCUGAAACUGAUGGCUGUUGUCACAGGGGAAAGUGUCAGGACUGUCUUUCAAAAACCUCAUUCACACAGCACAUUGAUCCCAGAAAAGUCCCAGAAAAUUGCCUGUGUGCCUUCUGCGUGAACGUAAACAUAUUUCCUAAUUGAUUCUGGGAUUCACACACAUCCUUACCAUGACACGCUCCUUACGGCAUUGUUCCUGCAUUUUGUUCACACAGGAUGUGUUGUGUAAAUGUUACAGACAAAUCCUGGCACAUCUUCUGUGUUCUCCAUAAUAAGCUGUUGCCCGGUCGCAGAUCAUUAGCGCUCGAACUGAUUUUG